CACCGGCAGAAUCACUGUUCAGACAGGCGGAGACGGGUCUUUCUCGCCCUCUGAUGAGUCACCACUGUGGUGG
ensembl:miRNA MIR1208 microRNA 1208